CCGAGUUCAGGCCCCUCGCGGGCCGAUCUCCCACCCUUGUGUAUUCAUACCACUGUUGCUUUGGCAGGCCGCUAGGCUUCGACCUGGCCACCGGCUCCUGGGGCUGGUGUGCGCCUGCCGGAGGACCCCCAAACUCUGGUUAUCUGUGUCGUCUGAGUACUAUACAAUCGUUAG
rnacentral:misc_RNA from 1 species